rnacentral:lncRNA from 1 species
GAAUUCACGAAAAACCUAGCUCCUGGUUUUUGGUGGUUUAAACCCCCUCCUGGUUUAAACCCCGAGCUGGGUUUUUCAUUUGCGUUUCACAAAAGAGGUUUAAACCCCGAGGGGGUUUAAAUGCGUCAUAAAACGUCAUGAAACGUCAUAUUUUUUAGUCUGCUCUUAUCUUAGAUGUGGUUUAAACCAUGGUUUAAUUUUAUGAGCAUGCGCACUUGAGGAGUUUGUGAAAAAUCCGUGAAGCAAAGAAAAUUUUUCUUGCGGUCCUGGACCUGACAAGUGGUCUUCUUGAUUAGAAAUUCAAUUACAUCGGCGUCAGAGGUACCAUACAGUGUAGGUCUCUAUGGAUUAUCUCCAUCUUCUUCACAGCUUUAAAUUACUAAGAGCUACCUUUCCCAAGACAUUGUGGGCUACAUGAUGCUAAAAAUCCAUCAAAAUCGUACAAGGAUGGGCCAUUUCGAGAUCAGUAUCGACUGUCAAAAGAAACCGUCACCAAUAUGCUGGAAGCCGAAAUGAAGAGGGACACACAGCUCAGAGGAUAGAUCAACUUCCUGUUUAUUUGCAGGUGUUGACAACUCUCCAUUUUUAUGCAGUGGGAUCAUUUUAAAAGAUGCAUGGUGAUGAGGCAGCAAUAUAGCAGUCAUCAAUGUGUCAGAAGCUAAAGCAAGAAGGAAGAGGCAAUACAUGAAGAUUCCUACAAGAGAAGAAGUUGAAGCAACUCGGAGACAGUUCUAUCUAACUGUUAGAUUUCCAGGAGUGAAAGGUGCAAUUGAUGGGACACAUGUCUACAUCAAGAGCCGGGGGGGGGGGGGGGAUUGGGCCAUAUGCUUCUUAUAUACCCCUUCCAACUUCAUGUGGAGAGGAAUGCCUAUAACAAUGGCAAAAGCAUUAAGAACAUAGAAACACAGAGUUCAUUCAAAUUUAUGAAGAAUACUUUACUUCUUUAUUUGUUAAUAAAUUGAUUAUUAUAACCCUGUGAUUCCUGCAGCUUAGCUUCAGCAACCUCUCUUUCUUUAUUCAAAACGUCCAUUCGUAGUUUGUGCUCCUUCAAGCUCAUAUCGUGUCUUUCAAUCUCAUUUCAUGCUUUUCAAUCUCAUAUCAUGUUCUUUCACUCUCAUCUUGUACUCUUUAUAAAGUCGAGACCAUGUUUCUUCCAUUGAACUUCAAUUCUAAUGGCAUGCACUUCUACCAGCUCAAACUCUUCUGACAGAUGAUUCUUUUUUCCUUGAGAUGGGUAAUUCAAAUUCCAUUUUGCAGAACAAAGGUUUGUGGUAUUGCUGCAGGGUUAAAAUUCAAUAUUGAAAUGCAUUUAAGUACAUAACAUAUAGUAACAGUACAGUUGUAAAACACAUACUAUAAAUCAUGUUGUCAAAGAUGUAUGUUGUUUAACGUACUGGUAACUCUCUACUUGAUAGGUUCAGCUUCUGACACCAAUGUACAUUGUGUUUUCUGAUUGUUCUCGGAACCAUAAAUUGAAUUUUUGAAAACAUUAAAGACUUAAUUAUAAAAAUUUCUUUAAAAACAGACAACAAUGCAAUGCAUUCUUUUCAGAAGUAUACAAUAUUCAGUGCACAGUUCAUUGAAUUGCUUGAAUCUGGUAACACACAUAUAUUGAAGCCCUUUUCAUACUUCAAAUGAUUCACCCUCCCAGUUCAGUUUUAUAAAUCCCUCUUCACCUCUAAAUACCUUACUACAUAUCUGUAGUAUAUUCAGAUUAUUUUGUGUGUACCAGUGUAUUGUGCAUCCAAUUGAUCUUGUAAUUACAUGUACAUGUACUUGUACUUCAUUUGGGGAUCAUGUUUAAUUUGCUACAGUAUUUAACAUCUAUUUCAACUACUUCUGAUAUAUGAGUCUGGCCAAAAAAUAUUCUGGCAGAAAGGGUCAAUGGAAAAGGGAAAAAAAGGCAUGGUAAUUUUAAUGAUACUAAAUUACCUUGAAGAGGAAUGCGAUUUCGAAGAAAUUCCACCAGUCUGGGAAUGUUUCCUUGAUACCUCAGACAAAUGAAUUUGUAGAAUUUGUCCUUGUUGUGAAAUAAAUAGAUGAACUUCUGUUCUUUUGCAGAUUUAUAAAUAUCAACAAUGUGUCACAUUCAUCUCAGUUGGGUUUUAUUAUUUUGUUUCAAGGAAAGUGAUGAAUACUCUUGAUAAUGUAAUUAUAUUAUGAUUUGGGAAGUAUUUUGAGAGGUUUUAUUUAAAAUUCUUAUAUGCAAGAGUAUUUUCUAAUCAUGUAUUACAAUAAGGAUUAAGAAUGCAAGUUUAUAGUGCUUGCUUCAAAGGAUUUUCACUAGUAGGAAAAUUGUAUUCUGCACUUUUGUUAUAAGUACCCCCUUAUAUAUAUUAUGGGGGGAUGUCAGAUAUAUUGUGAGAAAUAUUCACCCAGAAUGGGAAAACGAAAUCAGAGUAGAUGCACUUGGUUGUUUGGGUGGUGUAACUUGAGGCAGUGCUGGAUUUGAAGUUGCCGUAUUCCAUGGUUGAGGGAAAUAAAGAUGAUAGUUUAAUUCUGGGAAUGCUUUAUAUUUAUAUAGA